CAAUGUUCCCCAACAGUUUUUUCUGGAAAUGGAAUUCAUCUCAACAGUUGUGCAUCAUUGGUGUAUGCUUCAAAACAGCUGUUGUGCUCCACUCUACUCCAGAGAGGCUUUCAUUUCAAUGAACCAAAGAACAUCACUUCAUAAUGCACCUUCUGUACAUGAUUGGAGCACAACAAUGGAAUGAAGUAGCCAAAAGAGAAUCAGCUUUGAUUAAUGGCAACCAAAUGAAAAAGAAACCUCCAAGAGAUCUAUCAUCAACAACUCUGCACUGCUCAGAUCCUGCUAACUGAUGAUUUACUUCACCAAAGUGCAUUGUGAGUAGUCUGUACUUUCUUUUUUAAAGCUAAAAAUUUAUCUACCAAAGGUUGGUCCUUUCGUAAUCCAUUCAUAAUAUUGUUGACUAAAGGC